rnacentral:lncRNA from 1 species
UUUUUCCCUCCCUUCCCCCAUGACCCUCUGUCUUUUUUCUCAAGUUUCUCAUAUCAGUGAGAUCAUGUGAUAAUUGUCUUUCUCUGAUUGACGUAUUUCGCCUGUCAUAAUACCCUCUAGUUCCAUCCAGUGUCAGUUCUUAUUGCCUUCGACUUUAGUGAUAUGGAAAGCUGGGGACCUUCUUCAUGGAACUAAACACAUAAACCUAGCCCAGAAGUUGGAGGAUCUGGAUGAGAACUCAAGGAAAGCUCAUCUUUGAGUUUCAACAAAUGGGUGGGCAAUACAGGAGUAGCACGGAACACGCUGCUUUGUUUUGAUGUCUUAACACUUCAGAUGAAAAGAAUCGUCUUUAAGCUGGGCCCUCUUUAUAGACUGUGUCUUCAGCGGAACAUACUUCAGUUUUUCCAUGAAUACAACCAAAUGACCUGUUGAUAAAUACUUUAGGGAACAGAUCAUAGCAAGAAAACCAAAGGCAUAUUUGAGUUCAUGAAGAUACCUAAUUUUCCAUCACUGAGAGAUGUUCUUCUUUAUCUCCAAGUAUGUUAUUCAU